GCGCUCACCUCUGCAGCAAAUAUACUAAAAUUGGAGUGAUACAGAGAAGAUUAGCAUGGCCCUUCUGCAAGGAUGACACACAAAUUUGUGAAAUAUUCCAUAUUUAA
rnacentral:snRNA from 1 species